UUGCACUGCCACCUUUGCAGGGUUCUCAAACACAAGCAUCAUGGAUGACAACAGAAACUGAUACUGAAACCUUCUCAGACGCUGAAAAUCGACUGUUCAGCAUAAGGUACGAAGAAGGCUAUGAUAUCAAUGAUGAGCGAUACAAUACGUGGCUUAGAAAAACUCAUCCUGAAGUUUGCAUAACUGUCAGGCAACGUGUGAGUCCGGCCAUGGAGUCUCUGCGAGCAACGUUCAUCCUCAACCACUCAGAAAUGCUGUGACACAAAUUCUCCAUUUGCCAACAGUAACAUCAAAGGACAAGGCAACUGUAACAAGGCACAAACCAACAGUCCUGACAGCUGUAGAUACUGUCAAAGAUAUGGAAAAGAAAGAGCAGAAGGAGAAAACCCUUAUAGCAGAAAGACAAGCCAGAAAGAAACAAGAGCAACACUAGCAGCGCAAAAACAACAGCAGGCUACACAGCAAUGUCUGACAAGAACAACAAUCAAUCGCACUGCUGGUAGGCCCAACGUCGACAUGCAAGGUGCACGGACAGCAACACAGGUCUACAAGAGCGUCAGGCAAAGGGGCGUUGAAAGAAAAGCACGGGCUGUCCCUAUGCGAACUGGAAAUUGUGCUCUCGCCAAAGCUGGAAAAUGGGUGACGUGUAUUGUCUGCACCAUCUGGGUGCAUCAAGCCUGUUCAUGCAGUUAUGCUGCAAGACACUCAGAACUUCAAACGCCUAAGCUGUGUAGACUAGAAGCCUACCAGAGGGCUGCGCUAGAUGCUAGUAGAGUAACAUUGUAAGCAGAAACUAGAUUAGUUGCUACUAGAUUGAUCAUUGCUGAGUCAAAUAGAGGUAGAACGACUCAGGGGUCAUACCACAUUUCCUUCCAUCUCUCUCUCGUAACACCACCACCGGCAGACCGCUGACUGCAA